CAGCCACCCUUGAAAGAGUGCGUAAUAGCUCACUGGUCAAGUGAUUCCGCGCCGACAAUGUAGCGGGGCUCAAGUCAUCCGCCGAAGCUAUGGCAUUCGUACAUCAACCACCAACGUGGGUACGGAUGGGUAGGGGAGCGUCGUGUUCCGAGUGAAGCGGCAGAGUGAUCUAGUCGUGGAUGGGACACGAGUGAGAAUGCAGGCAUGAGUAGCGAAUGACGUGUGAGAAACACGUCCGCCGAAUGAUCAAGGGUUCCAGGGUCAAGCUAAUCUGCCCUGGGUAAGUCGGGACCUAAGGCGAGGCCGACAGGCGUAGUCGAUGGACAACGGGUUGAUAUUCCCGUACCGGCAAAGUAGCGCCCAUGACGAACCUGGUGAUGCUAACCAUCCGAAGCCACCCAUGACCGAUCCCUUCGGGGUGAGGCGGGGUGGUGGAGCAUGGGACCCGAGCUGGUAGUAGUCAAGCGAUGGGGUGACGCAGGAAGGUAGCCCAACCACAGCGAUGGUUGUCUGUGGCCAAGCGUGUAGGGAGUCAGAUAGGCAAAUCCGUCUGACAGUGCAUCAGCACGAUCCUGAGACGUGAUGGGGACCCCGUAUGGGGGAAGUGGGUGAUCCUAUGCUGUCGAGAAAAACCUCUAGCGAGCUACGCGCCGCCCGUACCCCAAACCGACUCAGGUGAUCAGGUAGAGAAUACCAAGGCGAUCGAGCGAACCAUGGUUAAGGAACUCGGCAAAAUGCCCCCGUAACUUCGGGAGAAGGGGGGCCCGGAUCGUGUACCCACUAGCUGGGGAAGCGUGAAGGGCCGCAGAGACCAGGGGAAAGCGACUGUUUACUAAAAACACAGGUCCGUGCGAAGUUGUAAGACGAUGUAUACGGACUGACUCCUGCCCGGUGCUGGAAGGUUAAGAGGACCUGUUAGAGAGCAAUCUCGAAGCGGAGAAUUUAAGCCCCAGUAAACGGCGGUGGUAACUAUAACCAUCCUAAGGUAGCGAAAUUCCUUGUCGGGUAAGUUCC
rnacentral:rRNA from 18 species